rnacentral:misc_RNA from 1 species
AGCAGCCGCGGUAAUUCCAGCUCCAAUAGCGUAUAUUAAAGUUGUUGCAGUUAAAAAGCUCGUAGUUGAAUUUCGGGAUUCUACCGUCGGUCGGGCUACCAAGUCUGUACUGGUGUGUAGAAUUCCUACCUUCUGGGGAACCAUCAUGUUAUUAAUUUAGCGUGGUGGGAAACCAGGACCUUUACCUUGAAAAAUUAGAGUGUUCAAAGCAGGCUUAUGUCUGAAUACAUUAGCAUGGAAUAAUAGAAUAGGACGGUGGUCCUGUUUGUUGGUUUCUGAAUCACCGUAAUGAUUAAUAGGGAUAGUUGGGGGCAUUAGUAUUCAAUUGUCAGAGGUGAAAUUCUUGGAUUUAUUGAAGACUAACUUCUGCGAAAGCAUUUGCCAAGGAUGUUUUCAUUAAUCAAGAACGAAAGUUAGGGGAUCGAAGACGA